rnacentral:rRNA from 1 species
UGCGGAGGGAUCAUUACAGAGUUAUCCAACUCCCAAACCCAUGUGAACUUAUCUCUUUGUUGCCUCGGCGCAAGCUACCCGGGACCUCGCGCCCCGGGCGGCCCGCCGGCGGACAAACCAAAACUCUUGUUAUCUUAGUUGAUUAUCUGAGUGUCUUAUUUAAUAAGUCAAAACUUUCAACAACGGAUCUCUUGGUUCUGGCAUCGAUGAAGAACGCAGCGAAAUGCGAUAAGUAAUGUGAAUUGCAGAAUUCAGUGAAUCAUCGAAUCUUUGAACGCACAUUGCGCCCAUUAGUAUUCUAGUGGGCAUGCCUGUUCGAGCGUCAUUUCAACCCCUAAGCACAGCUUAUUGUUGGGAACCUACGGCUUCGUAGUUCCUCAAAGACAUUGGCGGAGUGGCAGUGGUCCUCUGAGCGUAGUAAUCUUUUAUCUCGCUUCUGUUAGGUGCUGCCCCCCCGGCCGUAAAACCCCCAAUUUUUUCUGGUUGACCUCGGAUCAGGUAGGAAUACCCGCUGAACUUAAGCAUAUC